UACGUAGGGUGCGAGCGUUAAUCGGAAUUACUGGGCGUAAAGUGUGCGCAGGCGGCCGCGCAAGUCGAGUGUGAAAGCCCCGGGCUUAACUUGGGAAUUGCGCUCGAAACUACGUGGCUGGAGUGUGGCAGAGGAAGGUGGAAUUCCACGUGUAGCGGUGAAAUGCGUAGAGAUGUGGAGGAACACCAAUGGCGAAGGCAGCCUUCUGGGCCAACACUGACGCUCAUGCACGAAAGCGUGGGGAGCAAACGGG
rnacentral:rRNA from 1 species